rnacentral:rRNA from 1 species
UACGGAGGGUGCAAGCGUUGUCCGGAUUUAUUGGGUUUAAAGGGUGCGUAGGCGGCUUUUUAAGUCAGUGGUGAAAUACAGCAGCUCAACUGUUGAGGUGCCAUUGAUACUGAGAGGCUUGAGUACAGAUGAGGUAGGCGGAAUUUAUGGUGUAGCGGUGAAAUGCAUAGAUACCAUAAAGAACACCGAUUGCGAAGGCAGCUUACUAAGCUGUAACUGACGCUGAGGCACGAAAAGCGUGGGGAGCGAACAGG